ensembl:lncRNA
GCCCGCUAGGCUCCUCUGUCCAUGGAAUUUUCCAGGCAAGAAUACUGGAGUGGGUUGUCCUUUCCUGCUCCAGGGGAUCUUCCCAACCCAGGACCAAAACUACGUCUCUUUCAUCUCCUGCAUUGGCAAGUGGGUUUUUUAAUCGCUGCACCAGCUGGGAAGCCCUAACUGAAGAAAUUGGACCAACUGAUCCUAAAAUUUACCUGAAAAAUGCAAAGGACUGCUGGUGGGAGUGCAAAAUAGUACAGCCACUUCGAAAGACAACUUGGCAGUUUCUUACCAGAAGCAUAGUCUUGCCGUACGAUCCAGCAACUAUGCUCCUCGGUAUUUACCCUGAGGAGUUGAAAACUUACAUCCACAUGGAAACUCUCACACCAAGGAAAUACCAGCCCGAUGGAGCAGAGAAGGAGGUACAAAGGUGUCAUCACAGAAUUGCUUGGAACAGCCUCUGGUAGACCGAUUACAAAACUGGCCCCAAUGCCCCACACUUUCCUGUAUCCUUUCCCAAAGUCACUUUGCAGCUCUUUCCAGCAAGAGAUGGAAUUGAUUUCUCAACCCCUUGAAUCGG